rnacentral:rRNA from 1 species
CGGGACACGUGGUAUCCUGUCUGAAUAUGGGGGGACCAUCCUCCAAGGCUAAAUACUCCUGACUGACCGAUAGUGAACCAGUACCGUGAGGGAAAGGCGAAAAGAACCCCGGCGAGGGGAGUGAAAAAGAACCUGAAACCGUGUACGUACAAGCAGUGGGAGCCUCUUUAUGGGGUGACUGCGUACCUUUUGUAUAAUGGGUCAGCGACUUAUAUUCUGUAGCAAGGUUAACCGAAUAGGGGAGCCGGAGGGAAACCGAGUCUUAACUGGGCGUUAAGUUGCAGGGUAUAGACCCGAAACCCGGUGAUCUAGCCAUGGGCAGGUUGAAGGUUGGGUAACACUAACUGGAGGACCGAACCGACUAAUGUUGAAAAAUUAGCGGAUGACUUGUGGCUGGGGGUGAAAGGCCAAUCAAACCGGGAGAUAGCUGGUUCUCCCCGAAAGCUAUUUAGGUAGCGCCUCGUGAAUUCAUCUCCGGGGGUAGAGCACUGUUUCGGCAAGGGGGUCAUCCCGACUUACCAACCCGAUGCAAACUGCGAAUACCGGAGAAUGUUAUCACGGGAGACACACGGCGGGUGCUAACGUCCGUCGUGAAGAGGGAAACAACCCAGACCGCCAGCUAAGGUCCCAAAGUCAUGGUUAAGUGGGAAACGAUGUGGGAAGGCCCAGACAGCCAGGAUGUUGGCUUAGAAGCAGCCAUCAUUUAAAGAAAGCGUAAUAGCUCACUGGUCGAGUCGGCCUGCGCGGAAGAUGUAACGGGGCUAAACCAUG